rnacentral:rRNA from 1 species
ACAUCCAGCGAACUUGGCAGAGAUGCCUUGGUGCCUUCGGAACGCUGAGACAGGUGCUGCAUGGCUGUCGUCAGCUCGUGUUGUGAAAUGUUGGGUUAAGUCCCGCAACGAGCGCAACCCUUAUCCUUUGUUGCCAGCGAUUCGGUCGGGAACUCAAAGGAGACUGCCGGUGAUAAACCGGAGGAAGGUGGGGAUGACGUCAAGUCAUCAUGGCCCUUACGAGUAGGGCUACACACGUGCUACAAUGGCGCAUACAAAGAGAAGCGACCUCGCGAGAGCAAGCGGACCUCAUAAAGUGCGUCGUAGUCCGGAUCGGAGUCUGCAACUCGACUCCGUGAAGUCGGAAUCGCUAGUAAUCGUGGAUCAGAAUGCCACGGUGAAUACGUUCCCGGGCCUUGUACACACCGCCCGUCACACCAUGGGAGUGGGUUGCAAAAGAAGUAGGUAGCUUAACCUUCGGGAGGGCGCUUACCACUUUGUGAUUCAUGACUGGGGUGAAGUCGUAACAAGGUAAGCGUAGCGAG